AAUUACUCAUCAAUAUCACCCCUUUACUUGUACCUUAUCUUGUUACCCUUCCAAAUGGGUACAAAGUAAAAUUAACUCCAACUGGCUCUUUUGUUUUAACUCCUUCCAUUACUCUUCAUAAUGUACUGUUUGUUCCUUCUUUCAAACACAAUUUGAUUUCUGUCCACAAGAUAGUGAAACAGUUGCACUGUAUUGUUCUAUUUACUGCAACUUCUUCUUUCCUUCACAUGUUACAGGCCCCAUCUCUGAAGUUGCCUCUGGAUCUUGGUAAAUAGGAGGCUGGUCUGUACAAAUUUGCUUGGGUGCCCUCUUCAUCUUCUUCUGUUAAUUAUUCUUCUUCCACUUCUGUAUGCUCUAAUAAAGAUUCUUGUACUCUUGAUUGUUCUUCUGAUCUAAAUCUUGUUGCUUUACAUUCCAAUGUAAACAGUUCCAUUUGUCAUUAUAAAAUUGAUAAUAAUGACAUGAACUACUGGCAUUUAAGACUGGCUCACAUUCCUUUUGCACACAUGAAACACAUUUCUGCUCUUGCUUUAUCUUCCAAUGUAAACAGUUCCACUUGUCAUAAUAACUUUGAUGAUAGUGACAUGGACUAAAUUUGGCAUUUAAGACUGGCUCACAUUCCUUUUGCACACAUGAAACACAUUUAUGCUUUAUCUUUCCCUUUUGCUUCUAAACAGCCUUUUCACUGUUCUGUUUGUCCCAUGGCUAGGCAAACUAGACUCCCUUUUCCUGACAAUUCCAUUAGUACCUGUAGACCUUUCCAGCUUAUUCAUGUAGAUACUUGGGGCCCUUAUCACACCCCUACCUCUUUUGGUUGUAAAUAUUUCCUUAUUAUAGUUGAUGAUUUCUUUAGAGCCACCUGGACACAUUUACUGGGGUCUAAAAGUAAUGCUUUCAGCCUUAUCAAGUCCUUUAUAUGUUUGGUCAAAACACAAUUUAAUGCCACUGUACAAACUGUCAGAAGUGAUAAUGCUUUUGAAUUAGGGUCUAGUCUUGCUGGUGUUUCUUUCGUUAAUCAACAAGGCAUCAUUCAUCAAACUACCUGUCCCCAUACUCCCUAACAAAAUGGUGUUGUGGAAAGAAAACAUAGAACCCUUCUUGAAGCAUGUAGAGCUUUUCUUUUUCAAUCCCAUUUACCUAUCCAUUUUUGGGGGGACUUCCUAUUGACUGCCACCUACUUGCUUAAUAGGAUUCCCUCCAGAGUUCUUCACAAUAAGUCUCCUUAUGAAGUAUUGCAUGGCCAAGCCCCUACUUAUUCUCAUUUAAGGGCUUUUGGCUGCCUUGCACAUGCCACUGUACCCAUUCCACAAAGAGAUAAAGUUCAACCUAGAGCUUUGAGUCUCCCCAAGGAAUAAGUCUCCUUAUGAAGUAUUGCAUGGCCAAGCCCCUACUUAUUCUCAUUUAAGGGCUUUUGGCUGUCUUGCCUAUGCCACUGUACCCAUUCCACAAAGAAAUAAACUUCAACCUAGAGCUUUGUCUUGUGUUUUUCUGGGAUAUUCCUUGCCAAAAAGGGCUACAGGCUGUAUGACCUAACUACUAAGAAGUAUUUUGUGUCCAGAGAUG
rnacentral:lncRNA from 1 species